rnacentral:lncRNA from 1 species
AUUCUUCAUCCAAGAGGUAAACAGUUAACAUAGCAGUAGGAAGCAGACAAAACCGAGUUCAGCAAUAGUAAUUUGUUCAAGUUGAUGGCAAGCAGAGUAUACUCUGGACUUUCGAGGGAAAACUCAAGAAUAUGAAUGGAGAUUAAUAUAUAUUCUCAAGGCACAGCAGAAUUGCCAGUGAAAGAAAUCAAAGAGCAAAGCUUUUAAAAGAGUGUCACAAAAGAGGUGGACCCAUAUGAUCAAUCUGCAGUCUUUUAGAAGCUAGCAGGUAAAGAAGAUGAAAACAUAGUGGUAGCAGUGUGUGUGUGUGUGUGUGUGACUACAAUAGAAAGUACCUUAAUAUUAUAUAUCAUAGAGCUGCUUCCAACUCCAAUUCUCCAUCCAAGAGGUAAACAGUUAACAUAGCAGUAAGAAGCAGACAAAACCGAGUUCAGCAAUAGUAAUUUGUUCUAGUUGAUGGCAGGCAGAGUAUACUCUGGACUUUCGAGGGAAAACUCAAGAAUAUGAAUGGAGAUUAAUAUAUAUUCUCAAGGCACAGCAGAAUUGCCAGUGAAUGAAAUCAAAGAGCAAAGCUUUUAAAAAGAGUGUCACAAAAGAGGUGGACCCAUAUGAUCAAUCUGCAGUCUUUUAGAAGCUAGCAGGUAAAGAAGAUGAAAACAUAGUAGCAGUGGUGGGGGUGGUGUUGGGUGACAAGAUGGAUGAACAUAAAAUGAUGAGGUAGGUGGAAUCAGAAAUUAGAAGCAUGUUAUAAAGAGUGGGGGUUGCAUUGUUUGGAAAAGAAAUCAUUGUUUUCAAUCAAAGAUUUCAACCGGUCGAAAGUGAAGUUAGGAUUAUUGGGGUCGCUUGUUUGAGACUGGAGGGUGGCUGAUGUUGAAGAAGAUUCCAAAGUAGGGGGCUGCUUAAAACAAAAGAAAAUAGGUCUACUAAUCUUACCUGGAAAACAAGCAUUACCAGAAACAGCGGCAGAAGAAGAAGGAGAUUGGGAAAAAGGGGAGCUUUUUUUAUAGAAAAAUUUGUUGGGGUUAUUAAAUGGAAAGAAGAGCACUUUGGUUGGCUUAUUGAAAUCAAUGUUUCCACCACCACCACCACCAUCACCACCGGAUAAUCGAUGAUCACUAGUACUGUAAUUUUCUCUGAAAGAAACAUCUUUCUUCUUCUUCUUCUUAUUGGUCACCAUAAACUUAUUCUUCUUCUUCUUGAUGCAGUGGUUGUUGGUGGAAGUGAGGUGGGGUCUAUUUUCUGCUUGAUCUUGAAUAUCGUCAUCUUCUUUAGAAAUAUUCAGCCCAGUAUCUGACACAAACAUAGAGUGUGUAUAAAUUUAAACCUGCGUUUGCGUUUGGAAAAAGAAGAAAGGAUGAGGACCGGAUUUGUCUUGAAUUCUAUUAUACCGUCUAUUGUUAUUGCAAGAGGAGAAAUAGAAGGAUGAGAGAGAGAGAGAGAGAGAGAGAGCAAUAAAAUACAGCACU